AUUGAACGCUGGCGGCGUGCUUUACACAUGCAAGUCGAACGGCAGCACGGGUGCUUGCACCUGGUGGCGAGUGGCGACGGGUGAGUAAUACAUCGGAACGUGUCCAGAAGAGGGGGAUAACGCAUCGAAAGAUGUGCUAAUACCGCAUAUACUCUAAGGAGGAAAGCAGGGGAUCGAAAGACCUUGCGCUUUUGGAGCGGCCGAUGUCUGAUUAGCUAGUUGGUGGGGUAAGGGCCUACCAAGGCGACGAUCAGUAGUUGGUCUGAGAGGACGACCAGCCACACUGGGACUGAGACACGGCCCAGACUCCUACGGGAGGCAGCAGUGGGGAAUUUUGGACAAUGGGCGAAAGCCUGAUCCAGCAAUGCCGCGUGUGUGAAGAAGGCCUGAGGGUUGUAAAGCACUUUCAAUCGUGAAGAAAAGUUGCAGGCUAAUACCCUGUGACCUUGACGUUAACGAUACAAGAAGCACCGGCUAACUCCGUG
rnacentral:rRNA from 1 species